AUAAAUAUAUAAAAAAAUGUCGCCUAAGAGUCUAACACAGAAGGGUAAAGGAACUCUCCAUAAAACCCAGAGAGGAAAACUACACUUCCUCUUUGGAUCCUGUCUGGAGUCACAGAU